rnacentral:lncRNA from 1 species
GCUGCCAACCCGGAAGGAGCCCGGAGGGGCCCGGGCGGCCAGGGCGCCCCCGCCAGGAGGCCCGCCAGGUGUCCACCUGAGCCCCACGCCCUGCGCCGCGGGGCCCUUUUGGGGGCGGGGUGCCAGCUCCGAGGUGUCCUCCCACGGGCUGUAGACUGGGAAACUGAGGCCCGGGCCACGGUCCCAGACGCAGCCGGGACCCGAACCCACCUCACCUGAGCGAAUGAUAUCCGGGACUCAUCCUUUUUCGACACCUUUGCGGGAUCCAGCCCUCCAAGGAAAGCUUCCUGAGCAGUGCGCGCCACGUGUAUUGGGCACCUCACCGCGGCCACUUCACAUCCUAUCUCAGGUGGAGAAACUAAGCCACAGAAAGGAGCUGUCAUUUACCUAAAGCACCGUGGCAGGGGUUUGGCAGAGCCAGGAUUUGUACCCAGAUCGCCUGACUUCGGAGAGUAACAGCUCUUAACCACAGCACUUCGGUCUAUGCCUUGAUUUCACCAUAUGUAACAAGGCAUCACCAUCUGUUUUCCGCAGCAGCUGUGCCACUUUGCAUUCCCACCAGCAGCACGCAAGCGUUCGAAUUUCUCCGCACGCUCCCCAACAGGACAAGAGCUUGCCGUGUUGCCCCAGGCUGGUCUCAAACUCCUAGCCUCAAGCAAACUUCCUGUCUCGGCCUUUCAAAACCCUGAGAUUACAAGCAUAAGAAAAGAAAAUCUUGUAAGAUGAAAGCUGAAGGAUGAGAGCAAUUAAUUGAUGAAGUAUGAUGAUCCAGGUGUCCCUGGGUGAAGAAACAACCUCUACAAAGGCCCUGAGGGUCUCGCUCAUCACCAGGCUGGAGUACAGUGACAUGAUCA